rnacentral:rRNA from 1 species
GUGGGGAAUAUUGGGCAAUGGGCGAAAGCCUGACCCAGCAACGCCGCGUGAAGGAAGAAGGUUUUCGGAUUGUAAACUUCUGUCCUCAGGGAAGAAGGAAGUGACGGUACCUGAGGAGGAAGCCCCGGCUAACUACGUGCCAGCAGCCGCGGUAAUACGUAGGGGGCGAGCGUUGUCCGGAAUGACUGGGCGUAAAGGGCGCGUAGACGGUUUUUUAAGUCUGGAGUGAAAGUCCUGCUUUCAAGGUGGGAAUUGCUUUGGAGACUGGGGGACUUGAGUGCGGAAGAGGUAAGUGGAAUUCCCAGUGUAGCGGUGAAAUGCGUAGAGAUUGGGAAGAACACCAGUGGCGAAGGCGACUUACUGGGCCGUAACUGACGUUGAUGCGCGAAAGCGUGGGGAGCGAACAGGAUUAGAUACCCGAGUAGUCC